rnacentral:rRNA from 1 species
AGAGUUUGAUCCUGGCUCAGGGUGAACGCUAGCGGCGUGCAUUAGGCAUGCAAGUAGAGCGAGAAAUCCGAGCUUGCUCGGAUGGAUAGCUGCGAACGGCUGAGUAAUAGAUAGGAAUCUACCUCUUGGUGGGGAAUACCCAUUCGAAAGAAUGGCUAAUACCGCAUAAGAACUAAGGUUGAAAGGCGCAAGUCGCCGAGAGAGGAGCCUAUCGCCCAUCAGCUUGUUGGUGAGGUAAUGGCUUACCAAGGCUACGACGGGUAGGGGGUGUGAGAGCAUGACCCCCCAGAAUGGGACUGAGACACGGCCCAUACACCUACGGGUGGCAGCAACUAGGAAUCGUACGCAAUGGACGAAAGUCUGACGUCGCGACGCCGCGUGAGGGAUGAAGGCCUUAGGGUUGUAAACCUCUUUUGCUUCAAUGGAGACAUUGUUGAGAAUAAGUGCCCGCUAAUCUCGUGCCAGCAGCUGCGGUAAUACGAGAGGCACAAGCGUUGCCCGGAUUUACUGGGCGUAAAGUGUUCCGUAGGCGCAUUGGCAAGUUGUUCUUCAAAGCCCGAGGCUCAACCUCGGAUCGGGGAGCAAUACUACCAAUGUUGAAGGAUUCUGGGGCUACUGGAACUAUCGGUGUAGAAGUGAAAUUCGUUGAUAUCGAUAGGAACUCCAAGGGCGAAGGCAGGUAGCUAAGAAUUUCUUGACGCUGAGGGACGACAGCUAGGGUAGCGAAAGGGAUUAGAGACCCCUGUAGUCCUAGCCGUAAACUAUGCUCGCUAGUCUCCCGGAUUUUUCUGGGGGACGUAAGCUAACACGUGAAGCGAGCCGCCUGGGGAGUACGACCGCAAGGUUAAAACUCAAAGGAAUUGACGGGGACCUGCACAACCAGUGGAUUAUGUGGUUUAAUUCGAGACAAACCGAAGGACCUUACCCGGGUUUGACAUGUUACCGUUUUAGGCAUCUGGAAACAGGAGCUGAUCCGCAAGGAUGGUAACACAGGUGUUGCAUGGCUGUCGUCAGCUCGUGCCGUGGGGUGUUCCCUUCAGUGGGGUAACGAGCGCAACCCCUAUCGUAAGUUGAAUUAUUCUUACGAGACUACUUUAAUUUAUUAGAGAGGAAGUGGGGACGACGUCAAGUCAGCAUGGCCCUUAUGUCCGGGGCGACACACAUAAUACAAUGGAGCCGACAAUGGGUUGCCAAGCGGUAACGCGGAGCUAAUCCCAUCAAACGGCUUCUCAGUGGGGAUUGAGGGCUGCAACUCGCCCUCAUGAACGCGGAAUUGGUAGUAAUCGCAAAUCAGCUAAGUUGCGGUGAAUACGUUCUCGGGUCUUGUACACACCGCCCGUCAAGUCAGUAAAGUUAGGAGCACCCGAAUGUCCGGUGAUCGGGCAGAAGGUGAUACUAGCGAUAAGGAUUAAGUCGUAACAAGGUAACC